GCAAGUUGUGGUAUUGGUGAUUUCGUAAUAAUUAUUGUCGUGAAGUUUUAUUAUGUUAUUUACCUGCAUCAUUGCUACUUGUGGAGUUUCAUACCUGUCUACUUUAUGUACUUUAUUAUUUUGAACUAGUAAAUGUCAAGUAGACCCCUCAUCACUACUUCUUCGAGGUUAGAAUACAUAUUUACUGGGUACGCGUUGAUUUAUGUACUUAUACUACACUCUUGCACUAAUUGUGCAAGUACUGAGACAGGUACUUCUUGUGGUCAUACGGGCACAUAGACGUAUUGCACGGAGACUUAAUGGUGAGUUGUUUUUCAUGAUUCGAUCUAAAUACGUCAUUGAUGAUCCCAUAUGUUCCGUGUCUUAUCGACUCGCAUAUAUUUUUUGCGAGUGAGAGAGUUUCUUAUUAUGGUAUCAGGUCGUUCCCCACCCAUUUUGUUUGCUAAUAGGAUAAGUUGCAGAAACAGAAAGUCACCACGUUAUGGCAAGAGCAAAAGCAAAAAUUUUAUUUUUCACCAAAAAAUAAAGGAAACAUUAAAGAUUCAGUCACUAGGCAGCCUA
rnacentral:lncRNA from 1 species